AACGAAACGAAAAAUCUGACGUCAUUUCCUGCAGAGUCAACAUGGAGUCUCACGGUUUGAAGAUGAAUUUCUGGGAGAACGGACCAAAACCGGGACAAUUUUAUUCUUUUCCCGGCAGUAGCAGCAGCGGACCGGGCACAUCAUGCGGACCGGUCAGACACACGCUCAACCCGAUGGUAACCGGGACAUCAGUUCUUGGAGUGAAGUUUGCAGGCGGGGUCAUCAUCGCCGCCGACAUGUUAGGCUCCUAUGGCUCUCUGGCUCGAUUCAGAAACAUCUCUCGACUCAUGAAGGUGAAUGAUAACACCAUAUUGGGGGCAUCAGGAGACUACGCAGACUAUCAGUAUCUCAAACAGGUCAUCGAGCAGAUGGUGAUUGAUGAGGAACUGCUUGGUGAUGGCCACAGCUACAGUCCAAAAGCUAUCCACUCCUGGCUGACCAGAGUGAUGUACAACCGACGCAGCAAGAUGAAUCCUCUGUGGAACACGGUUGUCCUCGGGGGUUUCUACAAUGGAGAAAGUUUCCUGGGCUAUGUGGACAAGCUUGGCGUGGCUUAUGAAGCUCCAACAGUGGCUACUGGUUUUGGAGCUUACCUUGCUCAGCCUCUUAUGAGAGAAGUGGUUGAAAACAAGGCUGACAUCACCAAGCAGGAGGCGCGAGACCUGAUAGAGCGCUGCCUUAAAGUGCUGUACUACAGAGACGCUCGGUCCUACAACAGGGUAAGUGCAUCUGUCGUCGAUCUGUUGGGAGGCGCAGACAUUUACUUAGAUGUAACUGGAUUUAAAGGAGUAGCUCAAAGUGAGAAUUUUUUUACCAAAAGUGCAAAACGCUCUGACUUUUUAAAUAAAUAUUGUGGAUUAUUAGGUUGAAAUUGAUAUUGUGUUUUGUCUUUCAGCAUGAGAUUGCCAUUGUAACUGAACAGGGAGUGGAAAUAAUCGGCCCUUUGUCUUCUGAAACCAAUUGGGACAUUGCUCACCUGAUCAGCGGAUUCGAAUGAACUACAAGCAUGUUUCAUUUUUUUCAUCAAAACCAUAAACAACCUGCAGUUUAUCGAGUUUAGUUUCUUUUUGUUGGGUCACUUUGUAUAAUGAAAAAUAAAAAUGUUAAAACU